CUUUUGGGUUUAAUGGACUCUGGAGGUUUGCUGGACCUUUCUCUAAGUUCCCAGACUAUGCAGAGCUGAUUGUCAAGUUUCUGGAUGCACUGAUUGACACCUAUCUACCGGGCAACGAUGAGGAAAUAAGCGAGGAGGGUCUGCGCACACCCACCUCUCCAUACCCUCCACCUGUCCAGAGCCAGCUCAGCAUCACUGCUAACCUCAACCUCUCCAUUUCAAUGACCUCACUGGCCACCUCCCAGCAUACACCAGUGGGAUCAGUGGAAAGAGGAUGCUGCUGUCGUUUAGGCCGCUGAUCUCCGUCUCUGUGCUAACUCUGCUGGGCUGGUGCUGGUACAGCUUUAGUAGGAGGAGGACAACGAUGAAUCCAACACAAGUGAACAUGUGUUGUUCGGCCAGAAGCAGCCCUCUUUACUCCUCCCCUGCUGACUCCAGUAUUUUGGGCGAAAGUGAUCUGAGCAUGGACCACAGCAACUCAGGAUCCUCUGAAAUCAAAAACCUUACCAGCACCUCUUCCAAAACAGGCCUCACCAAGGGAGUUCGACCCGAGCCAGAAGGAGAAGUAUCCAUUUGCUUACCUGAGACUCUCCAAACUGAGCAGGAAAAGGACAACGUUGCUGGUGAAGGUCAUCCAGACUGUGGAGAAGUUAGUGAAGAUGACUUUAGGCUUGAGUCUGAUCUGGUUUGUCUCUCUUCAAACCACCUUGCCACCGACUCUCACACUUUAACAGAGCAACAGUCAGGUGCUGUCCGCUUGGACAGUCAUAAUGGCAGCAGCCUGACCACUGAUGGAGGCCUGAACCAGGAGAACCUGGAGAAGAUCAGUUCUGUUCAGGUCCAACAAGUCAUAGAUGCAGCAGCAGAGGACUGGAAAAACCAGGAACCCAGUGAUCCACAUGAGCUUGGAUUUCCGUUUGCUGCUCAAGAAUCAUUCAGCUGCGAUGACAACAGAAGAGUAUGCCUUCAGGAAGCCAGCUCUUUUCAGGGAAAAACUACUCAGCCAUUUAAGAGCUUCUGGUGA
rnacentral:lncRNA from 12 species